rnacentral:rRNA from 1 species
AACGCGAAGAACCUUACCUGGGCUCGAAGCGCAGUGGACCGGGGUAGAAAUAUCCCUUCCUCGCAAGAGGCUGCUGCGGAGGUGCUGCAUGGCUGUCGUCAGCUCGUGUCGUGAGAUGUUGGGUUAAGUCCCGCAACGAGCGCAACCCUUAUCUUCAGUUGCUACCAUUUAGUUGAGCACUCUGACGAAACCGCCUCGGAUAACGGGGAGGAAGGUGGGGAUGACGUCAAGUCCUCAUGGCCUUUAUGUCCAGGGCUACACACGUGCUACAAUGGCCGGUACAAACCGUCGCAAACCCGCGAGGGGGAGCUAAUCGGAAAAAGCCGGCCUCAGUUCGGAUCGCAGUCUGCAACUCGACUGCGUGAAGCUGGAAUCGCUAGUAAUCGCGGAUCAGAACGCCGCGGUGAAUACGUUCCCGGGCCUUGUACACACCGCUGUA